rnacentral:piRNA from 1 species
UACACAGUAAACAGCCAAAUU